rnacentral:tRNA from 1 species
AAAAAUUUAAGUUAACUAAACUAUUGACCUUCAAAGUCAAAAAUAGAAUUUAUAAUUCUAAUUUUUA